rnacentral:lncRNA from 1 species
CUACAUAUGAUUCCAUCCACCAUGUCUCACCUCUUUAAGCCAUGUGCAAGCCCAUCAUCUCUCAUGCACACCCCCACUCCUUCAUCCCCCACCUCACUCAUCCAUGAAUCCGCCACCACCUUUUCUCUCUCUACACCACGUUUCCAUUUUCUAACACCCACCUCAUCACCCAUGAUUCCUAUCCUUCUUCCCAUGCAAAUAUCUCACCAC